rnacentral:rRNA from 1 species
UACGUAGGAGGCGAGCGUUGUCCGGAGUUACUGGGCGUAAAGGGUGCGCAGGCGGCGGUGCGCGUGGAUAGGUGAAAUCUCCUGGCUUACCUGGGAGAGUGGUAUCCAGACGGCAUCGCUUGAGGGUCGGAGAGGGGCGUGGAAUUCCGGGUGGAGCGGUGAAAUGCGUAGAGAUCCGGAGGAACACCGACGGCGAGGCA